rnacentral:lncRNA from 1 species
UGUUUUUUUUUAAAUUUUAUUUAUUUGUUUGUUUAUCUUAUUUCUAUACAAUUGUCGCAUUUAUUAUUGUUAUUUAUUGCGAUAUUUAUACAUGCAUUCAAUAUAACAUUACAUCAUUUUUUACUCGAUUUUUUUAAAAAAAAAUAGAAAAUUGUCCAAAUUGAGAUAAUGCUCGUAUUUAGGAUUUUCAAGGGAAUUGAGCCCUAACGUAUUG